UGGGCUGGGGCUCAGCGGUGGAGUGCUCGCCUGUCACGUGGGAGGCCCUGGGUUUGAUCCUCAACACCACAU
rnacentral:tRNA from 1 species